UAGCUAGUUGGUGAGGUAAAGGCUCACCAAGGCGACGAUCUGUAGCGGGUCUGAGAGGAUGAUCCGCCACACUGGAACUGAGACACGGUCCAGACUCCUACGGGAGGCAGCAGUGGGGAAUUUUGGACAAUGGGGGCAACCCUGAUCCAGCCAUGCCGCGUGAGUGAAGAAGGCCUUCGGGUUGUAAAGCUCUUUCGGCCGGGAAGAAAUCGCAUGGGCCAAUACCCUGUGCGGAUGACGGUACCGGCAUAAGAAGCACCGGCUAACUACGUGCCAGCAGCCGCGGUAAUACGUAGGGUGCGAGCGUUAAUCGGAAUUACUGGGCGUAAAGCGUGCGCAGGCGGUUUUGUAAGACAGGCGUGAAAUCCCCGGGCUCAACCUGGGAACUGCGUUUGUGACUGCAAGGCUAGAGUACGGCAGAGGGGGGUGGAAUUCCACGUGUAGCAGUGAAAUGCGUAGAGAUGUGGAGGAACACCAAUGGCGAAGGCAGCCCCCUGGGUCGAUACUGACGCUCAUGCACGAAAGCGUGGGUAGCAAACAGGAUUAGAUACCCUGGUAGUCCACGCCCUAAACGAUGUCAACUAGGUGUUGGGUGGGUAAAACCAUUUAGUACCGGAGCUAACGCGUGAAGUUGACCGCCUGGGGAGUACGGCCGCAAGGUUAAAACUCAAAGGAAUUGACGGGGACCCGCACAAGCGGUGGAUGAUGUGGAUUAAUUCGAUGCAACGCGAAAAACCUUACCUACCCUUGACAUGUCCAGAAGCCUGAAGAGAUUUGGGUGUGCCCGAAAGGGAACUGGAACACAGGUGCUGCAUGGCUGUCGUCAGCUCGUGUCGUGAGAUGUUGGGUUAAGUCCCGCAACGAGCGCAACCCUUGUCGUUAAUUGCCAUCAUUCAGUUGGGCACUUUAACGAGACUGCCGGUGACAAACCGGAGGAAGGUGGGGAUGACGUCAAGUCCUCAUGGCCCUUAUGGGUAGGGCUUCACACGUCAUACAAUGGUCGGUACAAAGGGUUGCCAAGCCGCGAGGUGGAGCCAAUCCCAGAAAGCCGAUCGUAGUCCGGAUCGUAGGCUGCAACUCGCCUGCGUGAAGUCGGAAUCGCUAGUAAUCGUGGAUCAGCAUGUCACGGUGAAUACGUUCCCGGGUCUUGUACACACCGCCCGUCACACCAUGGGAGCGGGUUCCGCCAGAAGUAGGUAGCCUAACCGCAAGGGGGGCGCUUACCACGGCGGGGUUCGUGACUGGGGUGAAGUCGUAACAAGGUAGCCGUAGGGGAACCUGCGGCUG
rnacentral:rRNA from 1 species